UAUGUAGGUGGUUAUGUAAGUCGAGCGUGAAAUCCAUUGGCUCAACCAAUGAACUGCACUCGAAACUGCGUAACUUGAGUUCAGGAGAGGAAAGCGGAAUUCCCGGUGUAAGAGUGAAAUCUGUAGAGAUCGGGAGGAACACCAGUGGCGAAGGCGGCUUUCUGGACUGAUACUGACACUGAAAUACGAAAGCUAGGGGAGCAAACAGGAUUAGAUACCCUGGUAGUCC
rnacentral:rRNA from 1 species